AGUGAACGCUGGCGGUAGGCCUAACACAUGCAAGUCGAACGACAGCACAGUAAGCGCUUGCUCUUACGGGUUGCGAGUGGCGGACGGGUGAGGAAUACAUCGGAAUCUACUUUUUCGUGGGGGAUACCGUAGGGAAACUUACGCUAAUACCGCAUACGACCUACGGGUGAAAGCAUGGGAUCUUCGGACCUUGCGCGAUUGAAUGAGCCGAUGUCGGAUUAGCUAGUUUGCGGGGUAAAGGCCCACCAAGGCGACGAUCCGUAGCUGGUCUGAGAGGAUGAUCAGCCACACUGGAACUGAGACACGGUACAGACUCCUACGGGAGGCAGCAGUGGGGAAUAUUGGACAAUGGGCGCAAGCCUGAUCCAGCCAUACCGCGUGGGUGAAGAAGGACUUCGGGUUGUAAAGCCCUUUUGUUGGGAAAGAGAAGCAGCAGGUGAAUACCCCGCUGUUCUGACGGUACCCAAAGAAUAAGCACCGGCUAACUUCGUG
rnacentral:rRNA from 1 species